CCCAGGAGACACACACUUUACAAGGAGAGCCACAGGGGAGGAAACUGCAAAUUCUCUUGGAAAAUGAGAAGACCUGGCAACAACUGGGUUGGCACCUUGACCUAGCAACAAACACCGAGAGAAGCACGUGCCCCUUGAUCACAGCUGAUGCUUGCUGGUUGUCCACAGACUCCACCUCUCCUGUCUGUCCAAUACUGAUGCCCAGGCACAUUGUGCCUUAGCAACAACUUUCACUAUUGUUUUCUUACAGUAGAGAAAUAAUUCCCUGUAUCCAUGUGUAGGCAGAAUAAUGGCAUCCCAAAGAUGUCCAUGCCCUAACUCCCACAAUCUCUGGAUAUGUUACAGUACUCAGCAAAGGGCACUUAAAGUUAUAGCUGUAAUUAAGGUUGCUUAUUACCUGAUCUUGAGAAGGGCGAAUGAUCCUGGUUGGUCCUUAAAUGCGGAAUAUGGGGCAGAAGAGUCAGUGUCAGAGGCAUGAGAUGUGACAAAGACCUCACUGGCCAUGGCUAGCUUUGAAGAUGGAGGAAAGAAGAAGCCAUUGGCCAUGGAACAUGGGCAGCCUCUGAAAACUGGAAAAGGCAAGAAAAUGGAUUCUUCCCUAGAGUCUCAAGUAAGAUUUCAGCCAUGCUGACCCCUUGGUUUUUACCCUAGUGAAAACCAUCUGUCACUUCUGGCCUUCAGAAAUGGAAUAUAGUACAUUGGUGUUCUUUAAAGUCA